GAAGGAAUAUAUAGUAAUUUUUCACCAAUAAUUUAUAUGUAUCAAUGUGUAUAUACUACAUUAUUCUAACAGUGUUUAUGUAUACGGGUCUACCAACGUAGUUGUUCUACUAUACAACAAUGUACCCAGUGUACUUCUAUAAGUAGGGUUCCAAGAGUGUAGUGUGCGCACAACCCUACUCAGUCAAGAAUGCAAAACAGAUAUAAUAACGAACCAGUCAUACCGAAAAUAUUGAAGAAUAGAGUCGUAACGACAACAAAUUAUACCUAUCAUCUUCAUGCACACGGUGCCUUUGUUUCACCUCAUUGUGUGAAUGAUCUUGCAUCUCAUGUCUCAUCCCCUCCAAUGCAUAGCAAGUUGAGUCUAGUAGCCCCCGUACUAUGCAAAGUUAUCCAAUGGUUAGCUGCGGGACAGCUCGUGGCUCAAAUAAGUGUACCUUUAAAUGCUAUAUAGCUAAUCCUAUUGGAAUAAUAGUCAAGAGGUAUGAGAUAAGAGCGUUAGUAAAAAGAUCCAUUGGAAGCUUUUGAUGGUAAUUUGAGCUUUGACAUAUUUGAUAAAGAAGAUGGAAAUAAAGUCCUAGGCGAAUGCUUUGCUAAAGUGACUAGGGAUGGAGAUCUUUUGCCUGGGCAACAAAUUACGGGUUGCUAAACAUAUGUAUAUAUGUAUAACAUCUCAAUAAAAGGGGAAGUCCAGUGCACUAAAGCUCCCGCUAUACGCAGGUCCAGGAAAGGGCUCGACCACAAGGAUCUAUUAUAUGCAGCCUUACCUUGUGUGUCUGCUAGAGGAUGCUUGGUGAGUUGAUCAAGAUGAUAAAUGGAAAUUAAUCAAGCUGGGAAUCAAGUGGAAACAACACCACAAAGCUCGGGAUGAAAGGACAAACGCAUGGGACAAACAUUGUGCAAAGUUGGACAUUUUGAAGUCAUUGGCUUUAUUUGUUAUUUACUAACACGCAGUGCCCUUAGUGCAGAGAGAGGCAUAGAAAAAUUUACGACAACUAACUUGAUAUUUUCUUAUAUUGUCGUAGUUUCUCAGGUUCAUGAAGAUCUUGUUCAUGCACAGUAGGCAUAUAUUAUGUUUGAGUCCAGAGCCAAAAGGGCUCUAUUUUGACCAAAAAUUUCAAAGGGGAUACUUGAUUUGGAAAGAAAACGAAGGGAACAGAACGCGGGGGCUAAGUGACUUUGCAAGUUGCCCGGUGACCAACGGCUUGCAAGUUGCCUGAUGACCAGCAACUUGCAUGGCGUGAUUUCUAUCUGCAUGUGAGUUUCUUGGAAUACGUGAAGGCCUAUAUAAAUCCUCAAUUCUCAAAUGUAGAAACAUCUCUAUUUUCUGUGCAGAAACACUGUAAACAAAAAAAAAUCUUUUUAAAACUAUUCAAUCAAAAUUCAAAUUAAAUA